GUCGUAUUAAUCCCUUCGGAAUGUGCCUGAUCUCGUUGAAUCUCAGAAGUUAAGCAGGUUGGGGCCUGGUCUGCAUUUAGACGGGAGACUGUCGAUGAAUACUUGGUGCUGUCGGUU
rnacentral:rRNA from 1 species